UAAACAAAUUAUAACGAUUCACAUAUACCAUGAAAAGAGCUUAUAAUAUAUUAAUACAAAUAUAGAAUGUGGUUAGAAAUAUUAAAACAACUCUAAAGAUUAUAUGCUUUAGUAUAUAAAGUAUUUACCAGAAACUCAAUAUUUUUGAAGAGGUUAACACAUGAAUUUUGAGAAAAUUUCAAAAAAUAUGACUAUAUUGUUUUAAUGCAUAGUUGCAUCCUGCACUAACCUAUGAUUAUGUUGAAAGAGGUUUCGAGCCUUUGUUGACUCCGUUUUUCAAGAAAAUAGUUAUUUAGUAGUACUUUUUUUUUGAACACGAUUUCAUCGAUUUAGUGAGUAUAAAGAAGUUUUACUAAAUUAAUUGAUAAAAAAAUAUAAUGGUUCCCGUAUACAUUCAAAAAGAGCUUAAAAUACAUUAAUACAAAUGUAGAAUGUUGUUAGAAAUUUUUAAACAAUACUAAAGAUUAUAGGCUUCAGUAUAUAAAGUAUUUACCAAAAAUUCAAUAUUUUCGAAGGGGUUAGUUAACACAUGGUUUUUGAGAAAAUUUCAAAAAAAUAUAACAAUAUUGUUUUAAUGCAUAGCUGCAUCAUGCACUAACAUAUGAUGAUGUUAAACGAGGUUUGGAUCCUUUGUUGUCUUCAUUUUUCAAGAAAAUAGUUAUUUUAUAGUAGUUAUUUCAUCGAUUUAGGGAGUAUUAUGAAGUUUUACUAAAUUAAUUGAUAAACAAAUUUUAACAAUUCUCAUAUACCAUGAAAAAGAGAUUAAAAUACAUUAAUACAAAUGUAGAGUGUGGUUAGAAAUU